GGAAAGUUUUACCUGAAUAAAUGCAUUCAUAUAUGUAAACAUUUGUGUGCUGUUAAAAAGCCUUUUGUAAAUUUUAAACAGACUUCACACAACACCGUUUAGAUGUUCUUGCAGGUUUUUUAUUGAUGUAAUUUAUAUUUGCCAAACGAAAAACUAAUUUUUAACAGCCUCACUAUCAGUGCGUUUUACACGCGUGCUUUAAUGUUAGUUGAAAAUUGUGAUACUUUCGUUUUCUUAUUUACAGGAUCACUGUUUUCCAUCAUAGCUUCCAUUGAAAGUCUUUGUAAUUUUCUGGCAAACACAAUCUUCAAUCCUGUAUACCAGACCUCAUUGAACUAUACUUGGCCACAUGCCAAUGGUCUCAUUUUCUUCAUAAGUGCAGGGAUAGUCUUUAUACCGUUUAUUAUUGUCAGGUAAGGUUUCAUCUUUAAAACGUUGCAGCGAACCAAAACGCUUUGUCGCAUCAUGGCAUGGCUGCAGAAGUUAGGAGUGACGCUAUCUCUAUAAUACAGGGAGCUCACUCGAAAUUCCAUACUUCCAAAUUUAGUCGAAUUAAGUGUUUAGGAGUAACAGGCC